AUUCGCAUACGUGAUGAUACUUGAUGUUGGUAGGGACAUCUGAGAAUAUUUGAUGAGCAUCAACAUCUCUGAUAUGCGUAA